rnacentral:rRNA from 1 species
AUUAAAGUUGCUGCGGUUAAAAGCUCGUAGUUGGAUCUCAGCCGCGCUCCGCGGGACGCGUCGCGAGGCGCCGUACCCGCGGGCCGGCAUUGGGCCGGCGGUCUCCGACUGGCCUUCAAAAGCUGACGGGGCUCGGCGGCGUCUUUACUUUGAAAAAAUUAGGGUGCUCAGAACAGGCUUGAGCCUGCAUAUUCGCGCAUGGAAUAAUGGAAUAGGACCUCGGUUCUAUUCUGCCGGUUUUCGGAUCCCGAGGUAAUGAUUGAGAGGGGCAGACGGGGGCAUUCGUAUUGCGGCGCUAGAGGUGAAAUUCUUGGACCGCCGCAAGACGGACUACUGCGAAAGCAUUUGCCAAGAAUGUUUUCAUUAAUCAAGAACGAAAGUUAGAGGUUCGAAGGCGAUCAGAUACCGCCCUAGUUCUAACCAUAAACGAUGCCGACCAGCGAUCCGCCCGAGUUCUUCGUACGUCUCGGCGGGCAGCUUCUGGGAAACCAAAGUUUUUGGGUUCCGGGGGAAGUAUGGUUGCAAAGCUGAAACUUGAAGGAAUUGACGGAAGGGCACCACAAGGAGUGGAGCCUGCGGCUUAAUUUGACGCAACACGGGGAAAACUUACCCGGCCCGGACACCGGAAGGAUUGACAGAUUAAUAGCUCUUUCUUGAUUCGGUGGGUGGUGGUGCAUGGCCGUUCUUAGUUGGUGGAGUGAUUUGUCUGGUUAAUUCCGAUAACGAACGAGACUCCAGCCUGCUAAAUAGACCCACGGUCCGCAGUACCGUGAGCGGGUCUUCUUAGAGGGACGGGCGGCUCUUAGCCGCAUGAAACGGAGCGAUAACAGGUCUGUGAUGCCCUUAGAUGUCCGGGGCCGCACGCGCGCUACACUGAAGGGAUCAGAACGCGUUUCCCCUAGCCCGAGAGGGCUGGGAAACCGUGUGAACCCCCUUCGUGCUAGGGAUAGGGGAUUGUAAUUGUUCCCCUCGAACGAGGAAUUCCUAGUAAACGCGAGUCAUCAGCUCGCGUUGAUUACGUCCCUGCCCUUUGUACACACCGCCCGUCGCUACUACCGAUUGGAUGAUUUAGUGAGGUCUUCGGACCGGUCCGGCGGAGGGCCNNGGCCGU